rnacentral:rRNA from 1 species
GACGAACGCUGGCGGCGUGCCUAAUACAUGCCAGUCGAACGCAUUUUCUUUCACCGUAGCUUGCUACACCGAAAGAAAAUGAGUGGCGAACGGGUGAGUAACACGUGGGUAACCUGCCCAUCAGCGGGGGAUAACACUUGGAAACAGGUGCUAAUACCGCAUAAUUCCAUUUACCGCAUGGUAGAUGGAUGAAAGGCGCUUUUGCGUCACUGAUGGAUGGACCCGCGGUGCAUUAGCUAGUUGGUGGGGUAACGGCCUACCAAGGCUGCGAUGCAUAGCCGACCUGAGAGGGUGAUCGGCCACACUGGGACUGAGACACGGCCCAGACUCCGACGGGAGGCAGCAGUAGGGAAUCUUCGGCAAUGGACGCAAGUCUGACCGAGCAACGCCGCGUGAGGGAAGAAGGUUUUCGGAUCGUAAAACUCUGUUGUUAGAGAAGAACAAGGAUGAGAGUGGAAAGUACAUCCCUUGACGGUAUCUAACCAGAAAGCCACGGCUAACUACGUG